rnacentral:rRNA from 1 species
AUUGAACGCUGGCGGCAUGCCUUACACAUGCAAGUCGAACGGCAGCACGGGAGCAAUCCUGGUGGCGAGUGGCGAACGGGUGAGUAAAGUAUCGGAACGUGCCCAGUCGUGGGGGAUAACGUAGCGAAAGUUACGCUAACACCGCAUACGAUCUAUGGAUGAAAGCGGGGGAUCGCAAGACCUCGCGCGAUUGGAGCGGCGGAUAUCAGAUUAGGUAGUUGGUGGGGUAAAGGCUCACCAAGCCGACGAUCUGUAGCUGGUCUGAGAGGACGACCAGCCACACUGGGACUGAGACACGGCCCAGACUCCUACGGGAGGCAGCAGUGGGGAAUUUUGGACAAUGGGCGCAAGCCUGAUCCAGCCAUGCCGCGUGCAGGAUGAAGGCCUUCGGGUUGUAAACUGCUUUUGUACGGAACGAAAAGGUUUGACUUAAUACGUUGGACUCAUGACGGUACCGUAAGAAUAAGCACCGGCUAACUACGUGCCAGCAGCCGCGGUAA